UCAAGAUAAGCACGGCAACUGCAAGCGC
rnacentral:sRNA from 1 species